rnacentral:ncRNA from 1 species
UUUCUGGCUGAGGCAGCAACUCGGUGUGAUUUUAACUGCUAUACCGCGUGCAAUCUCUUUGCCAGAAAUACUGAUCUUACACCGACAACAUGCUUUAUACUACUCAAACACUCCCCCAUUACGUCUACCUGCAUAUCUGCGCAUGUGCUACCGUACAUCACCUUACUUAAUCUCCUGAUUGGUCUUUCUGUCCGCUCUGCCUCUUCGUUCAGCUGAUAUGCUAAUUUUUCGACUUCGUCCUUAAUUUUUGCACACCAGUGUAUUUCAAGUGCUUGUCUUAUCAACUAUCGAUGGUAUGUUACGUGCUUACCAUGGUCGUAACUGUGACGAAGAAUAAGGGUUGAAUUCCGAAGAGGGAGCCUGAGAAACUGCUACCACAUACAAUGAAGGCAGUAGACAAGCAAAUUACUCACUCCCAGAACGGGGUGGGAGUGACAAAAAAUAGCAAUCCGGGACUCUUUUGAGACCCCAUAACUGGAAGGAAUUACGCACUAAAUAUUUUAACGAGGAUCAAUUGGAAGGCAAGUCUGGUGCCAACAAGUCUUAAAAAUUCCGACUAAGUAUCUUAUGUUAAAAAUAUCGUAGUUGGAUCACAGUGGUAGUCUUUAGGACUGCCUGUUCUGAACCGUUAUCCUGUUUCUUUUGAUGACUUUUAACAGCUGUCUUGGGUGACCAGCAAAUUUACUUUGAAAAAAUUUAGAGUGUUCAAGUUCUGUCAUGGCAGAUGACAUAAUUUUACAUUGUUAUUUACCUUGUAGAAAAUUAUGUAUAAUGACCUUGAAAUAGAUCUAUUCUGUCUCAUCACAUUUGAAUUGUUACAACACGGGGAUUUAAGGUAUUAUGCUGUCUAUCGCUUUAUCGCACAGAGUAUUUUUUUUAGUUCCUAGCAUGCUUGAACACGAUACGUCUAAUGGAUCCCAUACAUUGCUUUUAAAUAUGAUAAGAACUGAUAAAAUGUAUUCUUUGCUCGAAAUUAUGAUAAGUUUUGAUUCUUUAGAAUGCGGUUUUUCAUAGAUUUCAUUAUUU